rnacentral:tRNA from 1 species
GAGGAUUUAGCUUAAGUAAAGUACCUGAUUUGCAUUCAGGAGAUGUGAGGUGAGUUCUUGCAGUCCUUA